AACAUCGCGCACCUGCGGGAACCUGCGGAAGGAUCAUUAUCGAGUUGCAAAACUCCAACCCUUUGUGAACAUACCUCAGUCGUUGCUUCGGCGGUGGACGGCCUGUUUUUCGGAACGGCCGGAAGCCGCCGGAGGUUCCAAACUCGUAUUUUUUAGUGUAUCUCUGAGCCUGAAAACAAAUAAUCAAAACUUUCAACAACGGAUCU
rnacentral:misc_RNA from 1 species